rnacentral:rRNA from 1 species
GGGCGUUAAGUUGCAGGGUAUAGACCCGAAACCCGGUGAUCUAGCCAUGGGCAGGUUGAAGGUUGGGUAACACUAACUGGAGGACCGAACCGACUAAUGUUGAAAAAUUAGCGGAUGACCUGUGGCUGGGGGUGAAAGGCCAAUCAAACCGGGAGAUAGCUGGUUCUCCCCGAAAGCUAUUUAGGUAGCGCCUCGUGAAUUCAUCUCCGGGGGUAGAGCACUGUUUCGGCUAGGGGGCCAUCCCGGCUUACCAACCCGAUGCAAACUGCGAAUACCGGAGAAUGUUAUCACGGGAGACACACGGCGGGUGCUAACGUCCGUCGUGAAGAGGGAAACAACCCAGACCGCCAGCUAAGGUCCCAAAGUCAUGGUUAAGUGGGAAACGAUGUGGGAAGGCCCAGACAGCCAGGAUGUUGGCUUAGAAGCAGCCAUCAUUUAAAGAAAGCGUAAUAGCUCACUGGUCGAGUCGGCCUGCGCGGAAGAUGUAACGGGGCUAAACCAUGCACCGAAGCUGCGGCAGCGACGCUGAUGCGUUGUUGGGUAGGGGAGCGUUCUGUAAGCCUGUGAAGGUGGCCUGUGAGGGUUGCUGGAGGUAUCAGAAGUGCGAAUGCUGACAUAAGUAACGAUAAAGCGGGUGAAAAGCCCGCUCGCCGGAAGACCAAGGGUUCCUGUCCAACGUUAAUCGGGGCAGGGUGAGUCGACCCCUAAGGC